rnacentral:rRNA from 2 species
GUUGUUAGGGAAGAACAAGUGCCGUUCAAAUAGGGCGGCACCUUGACGGUACCUAACCAGAAAGCCACGGCUAACUACGUGCCAGCAGCCGCGGUAAUACGUAGGUGGCAAGCGUUGUCCGGAAUUAUUGGGCGUAAAGGGCUCGCAGGCGGUUUCUUAAGUCUGAUGUGAAAGCCCCCGGCUCAACCGGGGAGGGUCAUUGGAAACUGGGGAACUUGAGUGCAGAAGAGGAGAGUGGAAUUCCACGUGUAGCGGUGAAAUGCGUAGAGAUGUGGAGGAACACCAGUGGCGAAGGCGACUCUCUGGUCUGUAACUGACGCUGAGGAGCGAAAGCGUGGGGAGCGAACAGGAUUAGAUACCCUGGUAGUCCACGCCGUAAACGAUGAGUGCUAAGUGUUAGGGGGUUUCCGCCCCUUAGUGCUGCAGCUAACGCAUUAAGCACUCCGCCUGGGGAGUACGGUCGCAAGACUGAAACUCAAAGGAAUUGACGGGGGCCCGCACAAGCGGUGGAGCAUGUGGUUUAAUUCGAAGCAACGCGAAGAACCUUACCAGGUCUUGACAUCCUCUGACAAUCCUAGAGAUAGGACGUCCCCUUCGGGGGCAGAG